UACGUAGGGUGCAAGCGUUGUCCGGAUUUAUUGGGCGUAAAGAGCUCGUAGGCGGUCUGUCGCGUCGGAUGUGAAAACCCAGGGCUCAACCCUGGGCCUGCAUUCGAUACGGGCAGACUAGAGUAUGGCAGGGGAGACUGGAAUUCCUGGUGUAGCGGUGAAAUGCGCAGAUAUCAGGAGGAACACCGGUGGCGAAGGCGACAUCCUGGACCAACACUGACACUGAGGAGCGAAAGCCAGGGGAGCAAACAGG
rnacentral:rRNA from 1 species